CCUACGGGAGGCUGCAGAGGGGAAUAUUGGGCAAUGGGCGAAAGCCUGAUGGAGCAACGCCGCGUGCAGGAUGAAGGCCUUCGGGUUGUAAACUGCUUUUAUAAGCGAGAAAUAUGAUGGUAACUUAUGAAUAAGGAUCGGCUAACUACGUGCCAGUAGCCGCGGUCAUACGUAGGAUCCGAGCAUUAUCCGGAGUGACUGGGUGUAAAGAGUUGCGUAGGUGGCAUAAUAAGUAGCUAGUGAAAUCUGGUGGCUCAACCAUUCAGACUAUUAGCUAAACUGUUAAGCUCGAGACCGUUAGGGGUAACUGGAAUUUCUAGUGUAGGAGUGAAAUCCGUAGAUAUUAGAAGGAACACCAAUAGCGUAGGCAGGUUGCUGGGACGGGUCUGACACUAAGGCACGAAAGCGUAGGGAGCAAACGGGAUUAGAUACCCCUGUAGUC
rnacentral:rRNA from 1 species